rnacentral:rRNA from 1 species
GAUGAACGCUGGCGGCGUGCCUAGUACAUGCAAGUCGAGCGAAUGGAUUAAGAGCUUGCUCUUAUGAAGUUAGCGGCGGACGGGUGAGUAACACGUGGGUAACCUGCCCAUAAGACUGGGAUAACUCCGGGAAACCGGGGCUAAUACCGGAUAACAUUUUGAACCGCAUGGUUCGAAAUUGAAAGGCGGCUUCGGCUGUCACUUAUGGAUGGACCCGCGUCGCAUUAGCUAGUUGGUGAGGUAGCGGCUCACCAAGGCAACGAUGCGUAGCCGACCUGAGAGGGUGAUCGGCCAUACUGGGACUGAGACACGGCCCAGACUCCUACGGGAGGCAGCAGUAGGGAAUCUUCCGCAAUGGACGAAAGUCUGACGGAGCAACGCCGCGUGAGUGAUGAAGGCUUUCGGGUCGUAAAACUCUGUUGUUAGGGAAGAACAAGUGCUAGUUGAAUAAGCUGGCACCUUGACGGUACCUAACCAGAAAGCCACGGCUAACUACGUGCCAGCAGCCGCGGUAA